AGCAAUUCGUUCUUUUUGUCGAAUCAAAGCAUCUAACGCCUGCAACCUUUCCUCAUCCACGUCUGUUAAUUCAUCUAACAUUAUGUUCUCAUAGUGAUCAGGAGGUAGUUCCCAUUGCCUUUGUAUUCGAAUCGACUGCAUCAUUAUUUCAACAGGUAACACGGCAUCGUGACCAUAUGUUAGUCGAAAAGGUGUCGAACCUGUUGACUCUUUAGGAGAAUUCCU
rnacentral:lncRNA from 1 species